GGAAACGACAACUAAUACCGUAUACGCCCUACGGGGGAAAAAUUUAUUGCUAUUAGAUGAGCCUAUAUUAGAUUAGCUAGUUGGUGGGGUAAUAGCCUACCAAGGUAAUGAUCUAUAGCUGAUCUGAGAGGAUGAUCAGCCACACUGGAACUGAGAUACGGUCCAGACUCCUACGGGAGGCAGCAGUGGGGAAUAUUGGACAAUGGGCGAAAGCCUGAUCCAGCCAUGCCGCAUGAGUGAAGAAGGCCUUUGGGUUGUAAAGCUCUUUUAGUGAGGAAGAUAAUGACGGUACUCACAGAAGAAGUCCUGGCUAACUCCGUGCCAGCAGCCGCGGUAAUACGGAGAGGGCUAGCGUUAUUCGGAAUUAUUGGGCGUAAAGGGCGCGUAGGCUGGUUAAUAAGUUAAAAGUGAAAUCCCGAGGCUUAACCUUGGAAUUGCUUUUAAAACUAUUAAUCUAGAGAUUGAAAGAGGAUAGAGGAAUUCCUGAUGUAGAGGUAAAAUUCGUAAAUAUUAGGAGGAACACCAGUGGCGAAGGCGUCUAUCUGGUUCAAAUCUGACGCUGAAGCGCGAAGGCGUGGUGAGCAAACAGGAUUAGAUACCCUGGUAGUCCACGCUGUAACGAUGAAUGUUAAAUAUGGGGAGUUUACUUUCUGUAUUACAGCUAACGCGUUAAACAUUCCGCCUGGGGACUACGGUCGCAGAUUAAAACUCAAAGGAAUUGACGGGGACCCGCACAAGCGCUGAGCAUGUGGUUAUUCGAUGCACGCGAAAAUCGUUACCAC
rnacentral:rRNA from 1 species